AGUUCGGUCCCUAUCCGGCGUAGGCGUAGGAUAUUUGAGAGGAGCUGACCUUAGUACGAGAGGACCGGGUUGGACGAACCUCUGGUGUAUCGGUUGCAUUACCAAGUGCAUGGCCGAGUAGCCAAGUUUGGAAGGGAUAAACGCUGAAGGCAUCUAAGCGUGAAGCCCCCCUCAAGAUAAGAUAUCCCAUAGCACAAGCUAGUAAGACCCCUGAAAGACGAUCAGGUUGAUAGGACAGAGAUGGAAGUGUGGUAACACAUGCAGUUGACUGUUACUAAUAGGUCGAGGGCUUAACCAA
rfam:Anaerosporobacter mobilis DSM 15930 genome assembly, contig: EJ17DRAFT_scaffold00030.30